GACAGGUGCUGCAUGGCUGUCGUCAGCUCGUGUUGUGAAAUGUUGGGUUAAGUCUCGCAACGAGCGCAACCCCUAUCUUUAGUUGCCAGCAUUAAGUUGGGCACUCUAGAGAGACUGCCCGGGUUAACCGGGAGGAAGGUGGGGAUGACGUCAAGUCCUCAUGGCCCUUAUGCCUAGGGCUACACACGUAAUACAAUGGUGCAUACAGAGGGAAGCGACCUGGCAACAGUGAGCAAAUCUCAAAAAGUGCAUCUCAGUCCGGAUUGGAGUCUGCAACUCGACUCCAUGAAGUUGGAAUCGCUAGUA
rnacentral:rRNA from 1 species